ACCAAGGCUCUUUUCAGAGCCAUAUAUGUGAAUUAAAGAAAUAGCU
rfam:Otolemur garnettii contig179637, whole genome shotgun sequence.